CCUACGGGUGGCAGCAGUAGGGAAUAUUGCUCAAUGGGGGAAACCCUGAAGCAGCAACGCCGCGUGGAGGAUGAAGGUUUUCGGAUUGUAAACGCCUUUUGGUAGAGAAGAGAAUGACGGUAUCUAACGAAUAAGCACCGGCUAACGCCGUGCCAGCAGCCGCGGUAAGACGGAGGGUGCAAGCGUUCCUCGGAAUCACGGGGCGUAAAGAGCGCGUAGGCGGGAUAGCAAGUCCGAUGUGAAAUCCUAUGGCUUAACCCUAGAACUGCAUUUGAAACUGUUAUUCUAGAGUAUGGGAGAGGUCGGUGGAAUUCUUGGUGUAGGGGUCACAUCCG
rnacentral:rRNA from 1 species